GAUGAACGCUAGCUACAGGCUUAACACAUGCAAGUCGAGGGGCAGCAUGAACUUAGCUUGCUCAGUUUGAUGGCGACCGGCGCACGGGUGAGUAACACGUAUCCAACCUGCCGAUGACUCGGGGAUAGCCUUUCGAAAGAAAGAUUAAUACCCGAUGGCAUAGUUCUUCCGCAUGGUAGAACUAUUAAAGAAUUUCGGUCAUCGAUGGGGAUGCGUUCCAUUAGGUUGUUGGCGGGGUAACGGCCCACCAAGCCUUCGAUGGAUAGGGGUUCUGAGAGGAAGGUCCCCCACCUUGGAACUGAGACACGGUCCAAACUACUACGGGAGGCAGCAGUGAGGAAUAUUGGGCAAUGGACGAGAGUCUGAACCAGCCAAGUAGCGUGAAGGAUGACUGCCCUAUGGGUUGUAAACUUCUUUUAUACGGGAAUAAAGUGAGGCACGGGUGCCUUUUUGUAUGUACCGGAUGAAUAAGGAUCGGCUAACUCCGUG
rnacentral:rRNA from 1 species